CUGGCAAAGACUGCAUAAUCUGGGAAACGUCGCUAUCAGAUUCUUAUAAAUUCAAGAUAGAAUUUCUCAGAAAUGAAUAACUUCCUUCUAGUUUUUUUUUUCUGCUUCUUCUAAACAAUUUAAUUUCAUACGUAAUACUUCUUCUAAAUCAUGUAAUAUUUCUGACUGAACAUUUGUUGCCGCUUCUGAUAGAGACUGUUUGCCUUGGAAUUAAUUUUUGUAGCAGUGCUUUGAUGUUUCGUAUCUUUCGAAUUUUUUUCUGGUUUUCUAUUAAGCAUUCUUCGACCAAAGGAAUAUCUACGCCUGAAGAUGUAUUAUUCAUUGCAUAUAUCGGUAUUCUUGUUGCAAAUGAACAAAUCACACACAGUAUCAUCAUCAUAUUGGAUAAGCAUCCAUAGUCAUGCGAUCUAUCAUCCUGAUUAAAGUCUCUUCAAAGUUAUUCUCAAAAAUACUACCAUUUACCAUUUAUCUUUGGCGUUUCUUUUCACUUUUCCCUCGCGGUCCUUUUCCGCUUUCAAAAUUCAUAUUCUCUCCAAGGUUAUUUUCAACAAAAUUGACUGAUUUAUGUUUUCGGUGCGUUGUAUUCCUUCGACGUAAUUUUCACGAACACUCCUAUCCGCCAUAUAUGUCGAUGGCAGGACCCCUGAUUAAAGUAGGCCAUUUAUAAGGUAAGGUGUUUAAAAUGUACUUAUUAAUUAAUUUUUUGGUUUUUUACAUCAUUUUUAUUAUUUCUAGGAUUGUCAGUUCCUCCAGUUUUUCCCAGGCUGGGAAUUGGGUAUAUCCUCUGUCCUAGGUGUAUUAUGAAAUCUAAGAAUAGCGAAUCUGCCCGCCAUUCUCUGCUUAGAUAUAUCGUCUCCGAAAUUAGAAGGAAAUUCGUCCGCUAUCUACUUUUUGCCUGCUCGGAGCGUAUGGAAGACGAUUUAGUGACGUGACCUGUUCGCCUCGCCGCGCCGCGUUUCUGCUCGCUCCGACAGCAUCUAAGAUGGCGGCGCUCUCCGGUGUCGGCGUUCUUCCUCCGUUAAGUACUUUUCCUCGUAUUUACUAAUCGGUUCCGCUUUCGCGAUUCCUUUUCGCGUUAAUUCAAACUAUGUCACGUGACUAAAAAUAAUUCGCAAAAAACCCGGGUUCCGUGAGAUCGAAAUUCAUGCCCAAAUUUCGAUUAAAAAAUAUUGAAUUAACAUUGAACUAAUCAUAGAAUAAAA
rnacentral:lncRNA from 1 species